CCAGCUACCACUCCCCAGAACCCUUGUUAACCCACUGCUCUGGGCAGGGCACAAAUCCUGUUUGCUUCAUGGCGUUCCUUCAUGCUCUCACUGAACUGUGGUCUUUUGUGCAAUAGACCACCAUGGCAAUGUGUUUGUAUCUUUCACUGACACUUUUCACAUUAUAUCUUUUAUUACUUAUUUAUCCUUGUUCCUCAUUAUUUUGUUUUCUUAUAUUAAUUAAUUUUUAAGUUCAUAAAAGUUGUAUAUAUUUAUGGCAUAUAACAUGAUGCUUUGAAAUAUGUAUACAUUAUGGAAUGGCUAAAUUGAGCUAACUAACAUAAGUAUUACUUCAUAUAUCAUUUAUUUGUGGUGAGAACACUUAAAAUCUAUUGUCUUACCAAUUUCCAAGUAUACAUUACAUUGUUAUUAGCAAUAGUUACCAUGUUGUAUAAUAGAUGUCUUGAACUUCUUACUCCUGUCUUCCUCAUAACUUUGUGAUAGUAACACUUUCUAGCAUUUGCAUUUUUGACAGCUUUAAAAAUUAUUAAAAGUUCAUUUACAUUGUCUUAUUCAGGUCUCACACAGACCAUGUGAUUCAGGUUAAUUACUCCCAUGUCAGUGAAUCAAGGGAUGUGAGAUAGUGCAAUGAGGCAGCUUCAGAAGACUUGGGUUGUAGUUUUCACUGUGUAACAUAUGAGUUUUGCAAUUGUGAAGAGGCAAUUUACACACUUGAAACUUCAGCUUUCCCUCCUGGAAAAUAUGUAAGGGGGACAUAGUGCUGUGGGGUUCAUUGCUAUGAGGCAUUAAUCAGAUAUUUAAUAACUUUCAAACACCAUUAAAGUGGCAUUAACAUACUACUAUUAAGAGAAUGUAGUAUCCCGGAGGGUAGUAAUUAUGUCCCUUUUUUAUCUGUUUAUUUUCCAGACACUUAGUGCAGCACCUAAUGAUGGUGCUCAGUGAAUAUUGGUUAAAUGGAUGAAUGGGACAGAGGUUGCCAAACUUUUUCUGUAAAAGUCAAGAUAGUAAAUAUUUUAGGCUUUGUGGGCCAUACGAUCUCUGUCACAACUACUCAGAGCUGCUUUUGUAAUGCAAAAGCAGCCAUAGACAAUAUGUAAGUAAUGAGCAUGGAUGUGUUUCAAUUAAAUUAUUUAUGGCCACUGAAAUUUGAAUUUUAUAUGAUUUUCAUAUGUCAUGAAAUACUCUCCUUUUGAUUUUUUCCCAACUAUUUAAAAACGUAAAAACAGUUCUUGGCUCAUAGUGUUACAGGGGGCGGGGGGAGGGGGGUCCUUGCUCCCAGAGCUCCCAAGAUGGUGGCGGGCCACCUCCAAGGUGGUGGCAAACCUCGUGUUCUCUGACCUGGUGUCACGGAUUCCAAAGAAUGGAAUCUUGAGCCAUGUGGUGAGUGUUAUAGCUCUAUUAGAAGCCGUGGGUCACGGAAGACAACCGUGGAACCCAGUGACUAGUGUUCAGCUUGAUUAGGACCAACCUGGGCACAUAGCUGUGCAGGAACAAUGGUGAACCUUUAGCUCCAUCGGGAGCAGCAGUGGGCACCUCACUGGAUCAGGAGCACAGCAGACACCCUGCCGGAUCCGGAGGGAUGGAAGUCAGCAGCGGGUCUGUGACAGCAGCAAACAGCAGUGGCGGAGGGCCAGCGAAAGCUCAGCUCGAGUAACAAACACGGACCAGAAGAGUGUGCAGCUGCAAGAUUUAAUAGAGUGAAAACAGAGCUCCCAUACAAAGGGAGGGGACCCAAAGAGGGUAGCCGUUGCCGGCUCCAAUGCCUAGGUUUAUAUCCCUAUCAUUGUCCCUCCUGCUGUGCUCUCAGGCAAUAGAUGAUUGGCUAUUUCUUUACCUCCUGUUUUUGCCUAAUUAGCAUUUUAGUGAGCUCUCUUUACUACCUGAUUGGUUGGGUGUGAGUUAAGUUGCAAGCCCCGUGUUUAAAGGUGGAUGCGGUCAUCUUCCCAGCUAGGCUUAGGGAUUCUUAGUCGGCCUAGGAAAUCCAGCUAGUCCUGUCUCUCAAUAGGUUGUACAAAAACGGAGGGGCCAGAUUUAUUUUAUCAAUCUCUGGAAUAAAAUAUGAAUAUCAGUUAAAUUAAGCAUGUAUCUGAAAUCUCAGCAUCACACAACAUACCCAUGUAAUAAACCUGCACAUGUAACCCUGAAUUUAAAAUUAAAGUUGAAACUUUUUUUAAAAAAUAAAACUUAUUAUGGUCAUUUUAUGAGCACUUUUUUAAAUAAUCUUAUUUGAAUAGACUAGAAAAUUUGGUCAUUCACUAAUAUGAUAUUGUGAGUAUAAGAAUCACAGAGGGAAAAAUCAAACUUACUGUACUAGGCUAAAUACAAUUUUAUCUUUCUUGUAUUAUGAUAUGCAGACUUUUAUCAAAUAUUGUAGGCUUUUAAUUCAUUUCUGGAUUCAUUUAAAUAGAUUGAAAAAAGUUGAAAAGGAAAGUAUGCAUUGAGGAACACUUGAUGAGGCGAUAAGAUGAUGUAACCUGCUUGGUCUUAUGGAAAGUCAUGAAACUGCAGACUUGGUCCAUUGCAAAUUCAUGCUAUCUCACCUCGUUUGGGUUCUUAAUGCUACUUGUCAAUUCUUUUCUUAUUCAUUGCUUGUUAAAUUCUUAUUGCAUUCCUCAUAGCAGCUGUUUUAGAUUUUCUAUGCUUUCAACUUCCACUCUCAUGGUCUCUCACUCACUCUAAGCAGAUGACUCUCCUCCUUCUGGACUUGCUGGCCGUUGCAAGCUCUUGCAGUUUUUCUCCCCUCAUACUCAGACAUAUCUGCUGCCACUCAUUCCCCAU
rnacentral:lncRNA from 10 species